rnacentral:lncRNA from 1 species
GCAGGCGCUGCAGGUGGAGGUGACCGAGUUUCGGGCGUCAGGCUGUCACUCCCUAGCGGCCCGUCAGCCCAGCGGUUCCUUCUCCGCUGCGUAGUCAGUCUGCGUCCUCGAAAACGCCGGGACGGGCCCCGUUCUGCGCAGGAGGAAUCCCGCGCGGCGGCAGCGGGGGACUCGAGCCACCGGGUCCCAUUCCUUUGACCGGCCUGGCCUGCAGGUCCCAGCGCGGUGCGUCUCUUCCACCCGCACUUCAGGGGCCCGUGGGCCUAGAGCGCCGCGCCGUGCCGGGGCUCACCCGGGCGCCAGGCUCAGUCCGCGCGCCCCCGGGAUGGCGAGUGGGAAUGUGCACCAGCGAGCGCCCGAGGACCCAGAAACCAGAGCAGCGGAGUGCGGCCGUGGUGUGAGGGCACGUCCAGGGCACGUAGGGAAGGCCUCUGAGAAGUGCAGCUGCUGGAGAGGAGGGAGCAAGGCCCAGGCCCCGAGGGGGAGCGCGGUGUCUGGGGAACCAGGAAGGGCUGCUAGGAGAGGAUCGGAGCCACAGAGAGCCACCGCGGAAUCUGGAACUCCCUCUGUAGGGACGGCCUCACUGAGCAGUCUGAACCGGGGUUCCGAGGUCUGACUGCCAUUCCAGAACCUUCUCUCAGCUCCUGCAGAGUGGGCUGCAGAAAAGACGAGCAAGGGGCCCUCCAAGUGGUUCUUCCAGGGUCCAGGGAUGCAGAUUUACAAACCAGGUGUAGCAGGCUGUUCUGCCUUGAGAAACGCCACAGAGGAGGCCGCUUAAACAACAGCACUCCUUCCUCACAGUUCUAGAGGCUGAAAGCCAAGACCAAGGUGCCGGAAGAGCGGUUUUCUGGUGGGGUCUCCUCCUUGGCUUGCAGACAGCUGCCUUCUGGCCUUGUCCUCAUGUGCCCUUUUCUCUGAGUGCAUGAAUUCCUGGCCUCUUCCUCUUUUGGGGACACCAGUCCCGUUAGCCUGUUAGUUUAGGGCCCCACCCCAGAUGACUUCAGAUUGCCUUAAAUACCACCUUUUAAAAGGCCUUCACUACUAAUACAGACACGUUGGAGUUUAGGGCUUCAACCAGUGGGUUUGGAGGAGACAGCUUAGCCUAUAACACCAGUAAAGGCAGCCAGAAAAGUUGAAGGAGAGCUGAUGGGCAGGGCCGUGCUUUCAGAGAGCCUUCUCCAAGGAGGAGCUUCGUGCUGCCUGAGGCUGCUUAUCAUUUGGUCUCAGCUCCAACGGUUUUUCUUGGCAAGGCUAUCUCUGACAGCCCAUCUAAACUUGCUCACCAGCCCAGCGCCCUCCGUGUUCUAUACGGUGUGGUACUACCCAGUGCCACCAAGAUCCAAGGAUGCAAAUGAUGUACACCCACUGAUGAAAUCACCUCGUUACCUCGUCAAUCACGAGUACUUGUUUGUGGUCUGCCUCCUCCCAGACAAGACAGCAGAGGCCCUGCUCAUUUUAUUUUAUAUUCUCAGCCCCAGAAGAGUGCCCCAAAGUCCUGAAGUCCUAAAUGCUUUUUUUUUUUUUUUUUUAAAGAGAGAGUAUUUUUUUUAAUGUUUAUUUUAUUUCUUUUUUUUUUUUUUUUUUUUUUUUUUAGUUUUCAGUGGACACAACAUCUUUGUACGUGGUGCUGAGGAUCGAGCCCGGGCCGCACGCAUGCCAGGCGAGCACGCUACCGCUUGAGCCACAUCCCCAGCCCUAACUAAAUGCUUCUUGAAUGGGUGUCUCCUGCAACCUUGGGGUAGGACUUGAAGGAUGAGCAGCAGAUUUGCAGAUGCAGGGGUGUGUGGAAAGAAAGGAAAGAACCCCAGUCAGACUGAAAGUCAAGCUGGUUGGCAAGAUGUCAAGGAGGUGAGAACAGAGACGUAGGCCAGUCCCUUAAGCAACAGGAAGCUGGAGAUGAUUCUGCGGAUACAAGGAAAAAGUAGCUUGGAUUGUACAUUUUUCACCUUUACCAAAGCAGAUUAAGUGGCUUAAAACAGUACAGCUUAUCUUACCACUCUAGAGGUAGGUCCCAGGUCUGAGAUGGGUUAGCCGAGCUGAAAAGGUACUAGCCAGGCUGGCUCCUCCCGGCGGCCUUGGGGCAGAGCCUGUUCCCUUGUCUUUUGUGGCUUCUAAGGGCCACCUGCAUUCCUGGCAUCCUGGCCCCUUCCUCCGUCUUCAGAGCCGUGGCCUGUGGGGCCUGGCUCUGGGCUUCCAACAUCAUUUCCUCUUCUCUCACUCUUUGCCUCCCUCCUUCCCCUUUAGAGCCCUUGUAAUUGUUUGGGGCUCACCUGGAUGAUCCAGGUUGGCCUCCCCUCCUCAGGAGCCUUCACUUCAUCACAGCUGCAAAUUCCCUUUUGCCAGGUAAGAUUCACAAGUUCCUGGGGUUAGGAGAUGAACAUCCCUGGGGACCCAUUGUCCUGCCUGCCACGGGGAGCAAAGCCAAGCAGGCAGGACUGAGUGUGCCUGGACCAGCUGUCUGGGUUCUGCCUCUCGCCCCCUGGCAAGGCGAUGACCCCUGCCUCUGAUACACCAUUGGACUAUCAGAUGCUAAGUAAAACAGAUGGAGUUGCUGCCUCCUCAGCUUCUACCCUGGUGGAGAGAAUUUUUCAGAUUCUUUUCUGUUAUUACACUGGACAUGGAUGUUCUCUGAAGACCCAAAGUUGAAUAAAGAAACCUGCUCUAUACAAGCUCUGUGCAUCAGUAAGCCGAGGCACCACAGGAUAGGCAGGGCACGUGUGGGGCACCUAAGAGUGACUAUCCUGUCCACAGGCAUUUACUGAGUACUUAAAUCUGUGCCAAAACUUUUAGAUGUGUGGGUAUUCAAAACAUAGAUCACUGUUUUCAUGUAGCUUACAUUCCAGGAGGCUAAGACAGACAGCAUUUAUAAGUAGAUUAUAGAGUCUGUUAGGAUGCUGAGUGUUUUAGGCAGCUUUUGUGUCACUGUGACCAAAAUACUCAAGAAUCACUUAGAAAAGAAAAGUUUAUUUGGGGCUCACAGUCUCAGAGGUCUCAGUCCAUAGAUAACUCACCCUAUUUCUCUAUUUCUCUGGGCCCAAGGUGAGACGGCAUGUCAUGGUAGGGACCCCUGAGGAGAGCCGCUGUGGGUGGGGCCCAGGGAAGAUACACCUCUGCAAGGCACUCCCCAAGGACCCACAGCCUGCAGCCACACCCUUCCAGCCCACGGUCACCACCCACCGAGUCCACUGAAACUGGGGUGGACAGAUAGGUCACAGCUCUCAGAUCCAGUCAUUUCACCCCUGAGUAGUCCUGCAGUAAGGAGCUUUUGGAUGACGCCUCAUAUCUAAAUCAUAACGGAGUGUUUUGGACGACGCCUCAUAUCUAAAUCAUAACGGAGUGUUUUGUUAAAAAAAAAAAAAGAAAGGGCUGGGGAUGUGGCUCGAGUGGUAGCGCGCUCGCCUGGCGCAUGCGGCCCGUGGACCCUCAGCACCACAGACAGACAAAGACGUUGUGUCCGCCGAAAACUAGAAAAUAUAUAUAUAUAUUAAAAAAUUCUCUCUCUCUCUCUCUCUAAAAAAAAAGAAGAAAGAAAGAAAGAAAAAGGCAGGUGAAAGGAGAUCAAGAGGGAAGGGGGAAGGGGCUGGGGCUCAUGGUAGAGCCUGGUCUACAUGUGUGAGGCACUGGGUUCCAUCCUCAGCGCCACAUGUAAAUAAAUUAGUAAAAUGAAAGGUCCAUCAAAAUCUAAAAAAAGUAUUAAAAAAAAAAGGCGGGCACAGUGGCGCAUGCCUGUAAUCCCAGCUGCUUGGGAGGCUGAGGCAGGAGAAUCACAAGUUCAAGGCCAGCCUUCAGCAACUGUGGAGUCCCUAAGUAACUUAGUAACUUAGCAAGACCCCAUCUUAAAAUUAGAUUUUAAUAAGGGCUAAGGAUAUAGGUAUAGUUCAGUGGUAAAGUGCCCCUCGGUUAAACCUCUAUACCAAAAAAAAUUAAAAAGGAUUUGUAGGGGCUGGGGAUGUGGCUCAAGCGGUAGCGUGCUCACCUG